ensembl:lncRNA
GUGACAGCUUCUGUUGGUGUUGUGGGACCAGAUGUGGUAGAUAUUUUAGCAGGAGUGGUUGUUGUGGCAGCAACUGUUGUUGUUACUCCAGACUCUGUUGUUGUGGGAGUAGAAGAAAUUGUUGUGACAUCAAGUGAUGUUGUUGUUGCAACAGAUGUUGUUGUGGGAUUUUCUGAAAUUUUUGUGACAGAAGCUGAUGUGGUUAUGGGACCAGAUGUGGUAGUCAUAUCAGCAGGUGUGGUUGCUGUUUCUGUAAAAACUGUUGUUCCCAACGUUGUUGUUGUUGGUAGAGCUGUUGUGGUCAUUGAGGGAACAGAUGUGG